UAGUGGCGCACGGGUGCGUAACGCGUGGGAAUCUGCCCUUAGGUACGGAAUAACUCAGAGAAAUUUGUGCUAAUACCGUAUGAUGUCGAAAGACCAAAGAUUUAUCGCCUAAGGAUGAGCCCGCGUAAGAUUAGCUUGUUGGUGAGGUAAAAGCUCACCAAGGCGAUAAUCAAUAGCUGGUCUGAGAGGAUGAUCAGCCACACUGGGACUGAGACACGGCCCAGACUCC
rnacentral:rRNA from 1 species